GUGUUCACUUCAGCAGCAUGUAUACUAAAAUUGGAACGAGACAGAGAAGACUAGCAUGACCCCUGUGCAAGGAUGACAUAUAAAUUUGUGAAGCAUUCCAUAUUUUC
rnacentral:snRNA from 1 species